rnacentral:rRNA from 33 species
ACACGACUCUCGGCAACGGAUAUCUCGGCUCUCGCAUCGAUGAAGAACGUAGCGAAAUGCGAUACCUGGUGUGAAUUGCAGAAUCCCGCGAACCAUCGAGUCUUUGAACGCAAGUUGCGCCCGAGGCCCUCGGGCCGAGGGCACGCCUGCCUGGGCGUCACGC